rnacentral:rRNA from 1 species
GAUGAACGCUAGCUACAGGCUUAACACAUGCAAGUCGAGGGGAAACGACAUCGAAAGCUUGCUUUUGAUGGGCGUCGACCGGCGCACGGGUGAGUAACGCGUAUCCAACCUGCCCACCACUUGGGGAUAACCUUGCGAAAGUAAGACUAAUACCCAAUGAUAUCUCUAGAAGACAUCUGAAAGAGAUUAAAGAUUUAUCGGUGAUGGAUGGGGAUGCGUCUGAUUAGCUUGUUGGCGGGGUAACGGCCCACCAAGGCUACGAUCAGUAGGGGUUCUGAGAGGAAGGUCCCCCACAUGGGAACUGAGACACGGUCCAAACUCCUACGGGAGGCAGCAGUGAGGAAUAUUGGUCAAUGGACGAGAGUCUGAACCAGCCAAGUAGCGUGCAGGAUGACGGCCCUAUGGGUUGUAAACUGCUUUUAUAAGGGAAUAAAGUGAGUCUCGUGAGACUUUUUGCAUGUACCUUAUGAAUAAGGACCGGCUAAUUCCGUGCCAGCCGCCGCGGUAAUAC